rnacentral:rRNA from 1 species
AGUGGCAGACGGGUGAGUAAUGUAUAGGAAUCUACCUAGUAGUACGGAAUAAUUGUUGGAAACGGCAACUAAUACCGUAUACGCCCUACGGGGGAAAAAUUUAUUGCUAUUAGAUGAGCCUAUAUUAGAUUAGUUAGUUGGUGAGGUAAAGGCUUACCAAGACAAUGAUCUAUAGCUGAUCUGAGAGGAUGAUCAGCCACACUGGAACUGAGAUACGGUCCAGCCUCCUACGGGAGGCAGCAGUGGGGAAUAUUGGACAAUGGGCGAAAGCCUGAUCCAGCCAUGCCGCAUGGGUGAAGAAGGCCUUCGGGUUGUAAAGCUCUUUUAGUGAGGAAGAUAAUGACGGUACUCACAGAAGAAGUCCUGGCUAACUCCGUGCCAGCAGCCGCGGUAAUACGGAGAGGGCUAGCGUUAUUCGGAAUCAUUGGGCGUAAAGGGCGCGUAGGCGGGUUAGUAAGUUAAAAGUGAAAUCCCAAGGCUCAACCUUGGAAUUGCUUUUAAAACUGCUAAUCUAGAGAUUGAAAGAGGAUAGAGGAAUUCCUAGUGUAGANGUGAAAUUCGUAAAUAUUAGGANGAACACCAGUGGCGAA